rnacentral:rRNA from 1 species
GCGGCCUAUCAGCUUGUUGGUGAGGUAACGGCUCACCAAGGCAUCGACGGGUAGCUGGUCUGAGAGGACGAUCAGCCACACUGGGACUGAGACACGGCCCAGACUCCUACGGGAGGCAGCAGUAGGGAAUCUUGCGCAAUGGGCGAAAGCCUGACGCAGCAACGCCGCGUGGGGGAUGAAUGCCUUCGGGUUGUAAACCCCUUUCAGCAGGGACGAAAAUGACGGUACCUGCAGAAGAAGCUCCGGCCAACUACGUGCCAGCAGCCGCGGUAAUACGUAGGGAGCGAGCGUUGUCCGGAAUUAUUGGGCGUAAAGAGCUCGUAGGCGGUUCAGUAAGUCGGGUGUGAAAACUCAAGGCUCAACCUUGAGACGCCACUCGAUACUGCUGUGACUUGAGUCCGGUAGAGGAGUGUGGAAUUCCUGGUGUAGCGGUGAAAUGCGCAGAUAUCAGGAGGAACACCAGCGGCGAAGGCGGCACUCUGGGCCGGUACUGACGCUGAGGAGCGAAAGCAUGGGGAGCAAACAGGAUUAGAUACCCUGGUAGUCCAUGCCGUAAACGUUGGGCACUAGGUAUGGGACCAUAUCAACGGGUUCCGUGCCGUAGCUAACGCAUUAAGUGCCCCGCCUGGGGAGUACGG